GACGAACGCUGGCGGCGUGCUUAACACAUGCAAGUCGAACGGAAAGGCCCUGCUUUUGUGUGGUGCUCGAGUGGCGAACGGGUGAGUAACACGUGAGUAACCUGCCCUUGACUUUGGGAUAACUUCAGGAAACUGGGGCUAAUACCGGAUAGGAGCUCCUGCUGCAUGGUGGGGGUUGGAAAGUUUCGGCGGUUGGGGAUGGACUCGCGGCUUAUCAGCUUGUUGGUGGGGUAGUGGCUUACCAAGGCUUUGACGGGUAGCCGGCCUGAGAGGGUGACCGGCCACAUUGGGACUGAGAUACGGCCCAGACUCCUACGGGAGGCAGCAGUGGGGAAUAUUGCACAAUGGGCGGAAGCCUGAUGCAGCAACGCCGCGUGCGGGAUGACGGCCUUCGGGUUGUAAACCGCUUUCGCCUGUGACGAAGCGUGAGUGACGGUAAUGGGUAAAGAAGCACCGGCUAACUACGUG
rnacentral:rRNA from 1 species